rnacentral:lncRNA from 1 species
GCCGACAAUGGAGUCUAGAGCUUGUUCCCUACUCGACCUUGUUCGAGAUCGGUACGUAGAUUCACAAAAAGUGUUAGGGACUCCAGAAGAAUGAGAAGUCUUCAUUGGCGAACGAGAAGAGGAAUCAGAGCGUAGCUCGAUUACAUUCCUAGAACCCCUGGAGCCCAUCCGGGAGUUUCCUCUUUUGGGAACAUCAGCAUAAAGCCGGAGGUUGAACUUCACUCUUCGAGCAUUGGCCAUGAGAUCCAGGUACUACCUACUGGCUCGCAAACAUCCUUUUAUAUAGAGACAAUUCGAGGUUGAUAGAAAUAAGAAUUCAAAAUCCAAGGUGAUCGUAUCAUGUUGAGAUAAGUUAAUCUUUGGUUUGAAAACUCCAAUAUAAAGAUAAAGGAUAUUGAUCAGUUAAAACUGAAAAUAAAAGGAAUGGCUAGGAAGGCCCCACUUGCGAACGACAAAUAAAUAAUAAGUAAAAUCCAAUAAAUAUAAACAUAUAUGGGUUUUAGCCCAUGAAAACAGACGACACGUAAGUUAUUGGGCGCCAAAGCGAGAGCCAGAUUGAAAGCCUCAAAAGCUUAAACCUGAGAUGGGUCUGGAAGUAGUAACGAACCCGCUACCUGGGGUAGGAUUAGAAGAGGUAGGCUGGUCUGAGAGUCUCCUAUCUUUAGGGUCUAUCCCCUCGUACCAUUCAUAUCCACCCGGCUCAAUCCCCAUGUGAUGGUCAUACGCGUCAGGAUCAGCUACAAAUCAAUGUUCCGAACAUUGCUGGCUUUGCACCCAACCAAAUCUGAAGUUGG